GUGUUCAGACAAUGGGAAAUACGACGCUAUAGAAAUCACAAUAAAGAUUAUUAUAGCUUAUGCACACUGCUCAAUUUGUAUUAAUUGUCCCGGUCUGGAAACGAGGUCAAACGGAUAUAACAACAAAGGGAACCCGUUGAUAAAUUGAAGGGUCGAUGAAUACUAGCGUUUCUCGCAGAUGGAUUAAUAAACGGCAAUAAUUGUCAGGACGACUUUGCCUGUCAAACAAUUAUUACUAGAGGGGUCGGCUGAGGUUUGUGUCACACACCAGCUCUGGCAAUCGUCAUUCGAUCACGAUGGCUUUACUCGUUCGGUCACGAAUUUCUUUUGCCCAUUUUUAGUGAAUUUCCCAUCAUAAAAACAGUUUCGUUUGUGUGUAUUCGACAACGUCAUCAUGUUCAAAAUCUAUAUUGUCUUAUCGGUUGCACUGCUAUGGCUUUCGUUGGACAUUGGUACCGCCACGGGUGGAUCUGGGCUUCAACACGAAUAUACUCACGACGACUAUGUUUAUGCCGUGCUAUCAGCAAACGUUGUCAACUUUACCAUCGUCGAUAAAAACCAAUACGUCGAAAUUACAUUGUUAGUAGAAGGCGUAGGUCUCACGAAAGAUGUAAUGGUGCGUACGACUUCAGCUUUUAAGGGGCGUGGAUCAUUAUGCUUCACAGAUCAACAAUAUAAGUAUGCCGACUCCGAGAGAAACUCGUUUGAAAUAUUGCAAGCAAAUGGUACACGAAUGUAUUUAACCAACAAGUUGAAGAUCGAUGAAAAUGUCGUGGAAGGAAAGUUGUUCCUGUGCCUUAACAGACCACGGUUAUCGACCAGAAAUUCGUCACAUGGUCGUUGGGUACAUCAGGGUGAUUUUGGUUGGAUCGUCUGGCCUGUACCACCGAUGUAUCUGUUUCGUAGAUAUGCAUACGAAGUCACCGAACCUGCAAGUGAAUCUAACUCAUUUGAGACAACAACAAGCGACUAUGGAAAAAAAUACAAACAUCGCGGUAACAAGUUACAUUUUUUAAAUGACACGGCUUGGUCCUAUACAAAAACGAACCGGACGAACACUUUAGUCACCGGUAAUGUCCUCAGGUGCAAAUUCCUCGUCAAAGCCGUUAAAAAGCCAAACUUAUUGGACGACUACAGCAAGACGGAACCCUCAAACCUUCAGCGUGAAACAGUUUAUUUAUGUGAGCACUAGUCGGCCGUAGCGGAUAAAUACAGAAAAAGCGAUAAUAGAUUGCUAUCGCUUUGGUUGGACAUUGGUACCGCCACGGGUGGAUCUCGGCUUCAACACGAAUAUACUCACGACGACUAUGUUUAUGCCGUGCUAUCAGCAAACGUUGUCAACUUUACCAUCGUCGAUAAAAACCAAUACGUCGAAAUUACAUUGUUAGUAGAAGGCGUAGGUCUCACGAAAGAUGUAAUGGUGCGUACGACUUCAGCUUUUAAGGGGCGUGGAUCAUUAUGCUUCACAGAUCAACAAUAUAAGUAUGCCGACUCCGAGAGAAACUCGUUUGAAAUAUUGCAAGCAAAUGGUACACGAAUGUAUUUAACCAACAAGUUGAAGAUCGAUGAAAAUGUCGUGGAAGGAAAGUUGUUCCUGUGCCUUAACAGACCACGGUUAUCGACCAGAAAUUCGUCACAUGGUCGUUGGGUACAUCAGGGUGAUUUUGGUUGGAUCGUCUGGCCUGUACCACCGAUGUAUCUGUUUCGUAGAUAUGCAUACGAAGUCACCGAACCUGCAAGUGAAUCUAACUCAUUUGAGACAACAACAAGCGACUAUGGAAAAAAAUACAAACAUCGCGGUAACAAGUUACAUUUUUUAAAUGACACGGCUUGGUCCUAUACAAAAACGAA